AGUGAACGCUGGCGGUAGGCCUAACACAUGCAAGUCGAACGGCAGCACAGUAAGAGCUUGCUCUUACGGGUGGCGAGUGGCGGACGGGUGAGGAAUACAUCGGAAUCUACUUUUUCGUGGGGGAUAACGUAGGGAAACUUACGCUAAUACCGCAUACGACCUACGGGUGAAAGCAGGGGAUCUUCGGACCUUGCGCGAUUGAAUGAGCCGAUGUCGGAUUAGCUAGUUGGCGGGGUAAAGGCCCACCAAGGCGACGAUCCGUAGCUGGUCUGAGAGGAUGAUCAGCCACACUGGAACUGAGACACGGUCCAGACUCCUACGGGAGGCAGUAGUGGGGAAUAUUGGACAAAGGGCGCAAGCCUGAUCCAGCCAUACCGCGUGGGUGAAGAAGGCCUUCGGGUUGUAAAGCCCUUUUGUUGGGAAAGAAAAGCAGCAGGUUAAUACCCCGCUGUUCUGACGGUACCCAAAGAAUAAGCACCGGCUAACUUCGUG
rnacentral:rRNA from 1 species